rnacentral:lncRNA from 1 species
AGAGAAGUUGGUAUAGAAGUGAGGUGCUCACAUUCCACUUUAUGAGGCUAUAAAAAGUUGUUUUGAAGGUGCGGCAAAUAGAAACCUAUCCCUCAUUUCUAUAUCAAAAGAAGAAAAAUAAUGAAAAAUCUUGGGUUCACAAGUCUUCCCCUUUGGUGGUGGCAAUGGCGGCCCUCAUAACUGGAGCUCGUGUUGCCGACGCGAUAACUUGCAACACCAUGGGGCUGAGUCCAUGCAUUGGUGCAAUGACAUCGACGGCACCACCGUCCACCACUUGUUGCAGUAAGCUGAGGGAGCAACAGCCAUGCUUUUGUCAGUAUAUGAAGAAUCCAAGCUUGGGAGGUUACGUGAAAUCUGCUCGAGCAAAAGCUAUUAUUUCCUCCUGUGGUGUUCCCUAUCCCAAAUGCUAGAGGUCAUGCUUUGUAAUGGACUUUUCUUAUAUAUAUAUAUAUAUAUAUAUAUAUAUAUAUAUAUAUAGCCUAUACUACAAUAUCAAACGACUAUCAAUAAAAAGGAAAGUGAUCUGGUAUUUUCUUUGUUCUAUAUGCUUCAAUUUUUAUCAUUAUACAAAUAUGUAAUGGCAUUACUAUAAAAGAAUGUGAAAUAUAUCUAGAGAAGUAAAAGACGUGGAAUUAACUUUUUCAUUUGGAUCGUAUAUAGUGCAGCCCAAUCAACUCUUGAAUAAAAACUGGCACAUGAUUAUUUGUAUUAAUUAAUGGACUAAAUUAAUUAAUAACACAACCCAAGCAUAAUGCAAUAGCCAUAAAAUACACAAAGCAUAAGAGAAUAAAAACACAAGGAUAUAAAGUGGUUUGACUAAUUUGGUCUACAUCCACAUUGAGAACCAGUUUUGAGAAAUUUUAUUAAGAGUAUUCGAGUUACAAAUUCACUACAAAAAAUGAGGGGUCUUCCAACGCACACAAUCGUUGGGAGAUAUACGAAAAAAGAGUUGUAAAAGGAUCUCCCAAAAAAAUGUCUGUCAAAACUGUGCUCUGAUAAAAUGUAUCAAAAGAAACCUUUACGACACUAAGAAAUGCAGCGUCGGGAAGAUACUGUAUACGAUGUUGGGAGUUCGCAUCUUUAGUCGUCGGGAGAUCUUAUAUACAAGUCUCGACGCUUACAUAUGGCAUCGCGGGUUUGAUUUUUUUUUAAAAAAAAUACCUUAUAUUAUUUAUUUCAUUUUAUUUUUUGUAACCUCAAAUUUUGAACCCAUUUAUAUAUAUAUGAACAUUUUCACGAACGUACAUAUUUCUAUUAAAGAACAACUUCUUAAUUACUAUUAAAUAACAACUUCUUAAUUACAUCAAUAAUAUAUAUAUAUAAUAAAGGAAGAUUCAACAUUAUCACAUGAUUAGGAAAUGCAUGAGCAGGCAGAUCCGGUUUAGGAAAUAUAUCCGUCAAUGGAGUUACGAGAAUGAGUGAAAAGUAAUUUUGGCAUCCCUUGAAAACGGGAACAUCGUGCUAGCCAUGCGUGAAAUUAUGUAGAAUAGAUAAGUCGGUAUAACACAUUUGUGGGAAAGAAUAGAAAGAAUAUGUAUAAUAUAGGUAUAGGAAAGUUUCAAUUCAAAUGUGUAAACAAGACAAUGCGUUCAAUUGAUUUGAGAUUUUCAAAACCAUAGGCCAAAUCCAACAAAAUACAAGCGUUUAACUUAUCAAAGAAAAACCUCUCAGAAACACCUUUUUGUCUAUACGAAGGUAAGAGAACUAUAUGCAGCAAUUAAAAGUAAAACCUAAUAAAUCUAAGAGGAAUAAAGAAUUGAUCAUUACAGAGAAUGUUGAAUGAUUAUAAUAGUAGGAGAGUUUGAACCCUUUUAGACAAAGAAAUACUUGCGCUUAUACAAAAUGAGGGAGGAGAAGUGAAAGGCAACCUUGACCCCCAAAUAAGGGCUAAAGUGAUUGUGAUUAUAAACAGAGAACCCCCUUUCCCAACAUAACAUAAGAAUGUAUCAUGUUGGGAAUGCACAAAAUCUGGUACAUGCAUUGUUCAACAGAAAACUUGGACAAUCUUCUAAGUUUUAGAUCCAGCCACAUAAGUUAAAAGUAGUUCGGACGGCCGUAUAGUUGUCCACAUAAAAUAUCUCCGUCUUUAUACGUAUGGUUGAAAAUUUUGAUGAUGACAACAAGAAAGAAAAGAGAAAAAAGAAAGUCAAAUAGAACAGAUUCAAUGUUGGUGGAAUUUUUAGCCUCUGCUUCAAAAUUCUAUUUUUUCUCUAAAUUUAAACAACUUUGGGCCAUUUGACAAAGUGAGUGAGAUCCCUCUUGGACGGCAAUGCUCCACUGAUUCCAAACUGCUUGGGACGCUUCUAAAGUAGUGGGUUUUACCACCUUUUGCUGCAAAGAAUCCAAAGCGGUGUUAAACCAAAGCAAUAAAGAAUUGAAACAAUAAAUUUCACAUAAGAAUAUGUUCGAAAACGAAGUAGGGCUAGAUGUAGUGGAAUUCUCCGUUGCGCGUAGCUGCUGUUGAAGAUUCGAAUCAAUCUGCCUUCGUCUACAUCUGUUGUCCGUUUACGAGUUGCAAGCCAACCCACACGCAUAUCUAUUUUGCACAAUCUCUUUUGUGUUGGUUUCGAAAGCCGUUGUUUCUACCUUGUCGUGGUUUGUGGUAAGGGUGUAGUUUUGGGUUUUGGUGAUUGUUUUCAAUAACCAAUAUUGGUUGGGUUAGUAAAUUGAUUGAUAUUGUUUCUUGAAGGUGCAAAUUGUGGACAACACUUAAAUUCCUUGAGUUUCAAGUGAGUGGGGUUGGACUCCAAUUCUCCACGUUUUGGGUAAGUUGUGGAAAUUAUAUAUAUAGGAUGAAUUGAAUAGAUGAAAUUGUUUCUAGAAGUCAUUGAUUUCUGUUUACUUAUGUUUAGGUUGUUUUUGUUGAACUUUAGUGGAAUAAAUGAAGUUAAGGUAAGGGUUCCUACUACUGGACUCAAUGAUGAAAUUAAGAUGUAUUGACUAUAUGGAUUCCACUAAACUUAGAUGGACUAACUGAUAAGCAAAUUUAUAUUUGAUGACUGUUUAUUAUAUAAAUUUUAUUGAACUGAGAUGAGUUGACCGAUAUGUAAAAUAUAGUUUGAUGACUGAACUGAGGAUAUCGAAUUGAUUAGAUUGUGGGUUGUUGACGGUUAUGUUAAGGCAUAGGUAGUGUAAUGUAGGUUGAAUUGACAAACUAGAUUGAAUUGACUGAACUAAGGUGAGUGACGCUUAUGUAUAAAUUUAAUUAUUUGAGGGACUGUUCUGCUGAUGUUUGAUUAUGUAUUGGUUUGGGUAAAUUAACUGUAUAUGUGUUGAGCUGAAAGAAGGAUAUAAUGGUAGUUUAUAUUCUAAGUUGAGUUGACUGUUUUAAAUGUUAGUAUGGACUGAGGGAAAUCUGUUAGCUUUAUCUGUAGGGUAGUGUGUCUUGCAGGUGCCCCACGGGAUCACCACCUGUUGUGCAUCAUUUGGAACACUAGACUGAUAGGUGCAUCCUUCGGGAGCACUAGACUGAUAUGUGCAUCUUUUAUGAGCAUUAGAUUAAUUAUGUGCACCCUACGGGAUCACAAGACUGUUAUGAUACAUGGUACCUCCCAAUAGAAAGUUAAUAAUUUUACCCUAGUGGGACCAGUAGUGGGUCUCUUGCUGGGUAUGUUUAUACUCACCCUUUUAUGUUUAACUUUCCAGGCAAAAGUAAUAUAAGAGACCGACCAACGAGGAAUAAGAAGGAGACGUGAUCGCCAUAGGAGGAUUUUCUUUAAAAUAGCUUCCGCUUACAGUUUUCUUUUGUUUUACUUUAGUAGUUGUGACUGAAACGAAUUUCAUGUUUAGCACAACAGUUUAUUUCUUGAUUUUAUAAACAAUAAUUUCGAACCUUUAAUUUUGUUUGAAAUAGGGCCUGAAUAAAGAUUUAUUUGAUGUUUAUUGAUUUUAACAUAUUUUAUAAACACUCAUGUUUAAAAGAAGUGCAUUUGUAUUAAAGGAACUACCUCAGUUUAGUUUGAAAAGUUUGGAUCGUUACACCUAGCCAUCCACCCAAUCUUACUCUUAAAAUGGGAGGCUUAUUGUGUCAGUGUCGUUGAGCUACACUCACCUAUGCAGAUCUAAGGAUAAUUUUGUGUGAACAUAAGUUCAUAGUUAACUUAGGAUUAAGAUUAAGUUACAUGGGUCAUCAAUAAACAAAAUAGUCAGUUUUGUACAAUCAAUGGUGUUAUAACUUAAAAGUGAUUAUUUUAUGAUUUCAGUCUUAUGCAAACUUUGUACAUAGGAUACUCCAACUUCCAUGGUCUCUACAUGAACGAUUCAGGAUCAUAUCGUUUGUACUAACUACAACAAGAAUAAGGCUUAUUCAUACACUAUAGACCAUUUGGGCUAUAUACUUGAACUUGAUCCACAUUUAUGUAAAUUCAAGUCUACACUAGGUAGCAUAAGGACCUUAGUUUAUUUAGAUUCAAGAUUAUAGUAUUCUAUUAAUAAGUCCUCAAUAACCACUUUAUUGAAUAAAAUAUACUUUUAAACUACAAACUACGAGUUUUAUGACAUAAAUUUCAACAGCUUUGUCAUUUAAUGAUCCAUCUCAUCUAACUCCUUUCAUUAAAAUACCUUACUUUACUCACCAUGAUAUUUCAUUCUCUAUAAAUUGUGUUAGUCAAUUGAUGCACAAACCCACUGUUAUUCACUUCUCUGCAAUCAAAUGCAUCCUACGAUAUCUAUGUGGUACUCAACCCUUGGGAUAAAAUUUUGCAUGGGUUCAUUAAUUAUAUCUAUAAACCUUUUAAUGACUCUGAUUGUGCUAGCGACACUUCUGAUCGACAUUCCACCUCUGGAUUCAUUGUCUUUCUUGGUUCUAAUCCUAUCUAUUGGUCUUUUAGAAAGCAACCUACAGUCUAUCGUUCUUCCACAUAAGCAAAAACUUGCUCACUCGCCACUACCACUGCAGAUCUUUACUGGAACCGACAAGUUCUAUGUGAUCUUCAUGUUCCACUUUAAAUCUUCAACAACCUUAUGGUGUGAUAAUGUUUUAGCUAUAUCUCAGGUUCAUAAUCUCGUGUUUCAUGCUCGUACCGAACAUAUUGAAAUUGAUUACCACUUUUUUCAAGAGAAGGUACUUCGCAAAGACAUCUUCAUUCGUUACAUUAUCUCUUCCAACGAUCAACUUGUUGAUCUACAAACAAAGUCACUCUCAUCUACAACACUUCUACAACUCCGAGACAAACUAUUGACUCAUUUUGAGUCAUCAAUCUGAGGGAGGAUAUUAGAGGAUAUUUUCCAAAAUCACAAUCCUCUUCAUAAUCUACUCCUCAAUUUCUGCCCUUUAUUUUUGCCCAAAUUGUAUAUUUGAUUAUAUCCCAAUCUUUUCAUAUUUAAUAUUAUCUUGUAUUGCAUAUUUAUACCAAACCAUUGUAAAAAGAAAUAAAAACAAGCAAAAUAUAUUCGUCUCUAAUUCCUUUUAUGAUUUAGGAUAAUUCAAAAAAAUGUUAAAAUAAUUGUGGUAAUUUUUGUGCUCUAGAAUAGAUCAAACGUGUAGAGCAACCCAACAUUUAAAUCAAUGCCAACAAUAUUUGUUAAUUGUUAUCAUCACAAUAUUAACUUUAUGGAAAAGGAUGUUGGAAGCAAUUAAAAUCAAAGAGAAAAGUAGGUGAAAUUGGAAAUGAGAAAUUAAUAAUAGGGUUGGCCCUUUUAUCAACUCUUCCAACUUUAUGUGGCUAUAAAUACAAACAAAAAAGAGUUGGGGGGAAAAACAGACAAUUAAAGCCAUAUUAUUCCUCUUUCUCCUUUUCCUUUUCCCUUUCCCUUCAACAAACAUUACUGAUUUCUAUCAAAACCAAGAGACAAUGAACAAAGUUCUUCCAGUCACAGUUGUUUGUCUUUUCGUGCUGGCCGUUCUUGGCGGAGUUCGUGUUGCAGAGGCGGUGAGUUGCAGCCCUUCGGAGCUGAGCUCAUGUCUCACGGCAAUCACGUCGAUGGCAGACCCAUCCGCCACUUGCUGCAACAAAUUGAGAGAGCAGCAACCAUGUCUUUGCGGGUACAUAAAGAACCCAGCUUUGAGUAGUUAUUUGAAUUCUCCUCGCGCCAAACAUGUUGCUUCCAAAUGUGGUGUUCCCACUCCAAGGUGUUAGAGGGUCUUUCUUUUGGGCCAUAUGUGUGGAAAUUAAGCUGGAAUAAUUUUAUAGUUAUUCCUAUGAAUAAAACAAUAAAAGAAAAAAACGAUCUAUGUGUUUCUUUUUUUUUUUUAAUUAAGUUAUUAAAGUAGGUUCAUGUUGAUCAUAUAUCUCUUUUCUUUUUUCUUUUAAUGAAUUAAAAUAAUAGGUAUGGUAUGUUUCUAUAAAGAUAUUUUUAGAUUGGUGUUUUCUUUGUUAAAUGUUUCACCUUUUUUCUCUUUUUUAGGUUGCUGUAAAGUAAAAUUGAACAAUAUCUUGGUGAUGAUUAGGUUGCAAAUAUCUUUAUCUCUCCAACUUACAUAGUUUUUCAACAAAAAAAAAAAAAUUUGUUAGGGGAAGAUUUUUGCUUUUUAUUAAAACUUACUAGAUUUUUUCAUGCUGUCUUUUAUAAAAAGAAAAAUUGCAAAAAUAUUUCCAAAUAAGUUUGACAACACUAUUUUUUUUUGCAUACUUCAAAUAUGACAAAGUUAAUGAUAUCAGACUACUAUUAAACGAUAAUCAUCGGUAAUCUAGAGUUGUUGUUGGAGUUGUUGCAGGACUAAUAGACAGUAAUUGUAUGACAGUAGACAGUAAUUGUAUGACAGUAGACAGUCAUCCCUUCUAAAUUAAUUUGCAAAUUUUGUAAAUUUAAAAAAUUUUAUAAUUUUGUAAAUUAAUUUGCAAAUUUUGUAAAUUUAAAAAAUCUUAUAAUUUUGUAAAUUUAAAAAAUCUUAUGACAUGAUUUCUAUUAUCAUACAUUUUUGCUAUUUUUACAAAACUCCAUAUAAAGAUAUACAAAAAUAAGUAAGUCUUCUCGUUGUUGAUUAAGAUAUGUAAAGAGUUGGAACUAAACGUUGUUGAUUAAGAUAUGUAAAGAGUGGAUUUACUUUAGUUCUAUUAACCUGGUUUGUUAGUUUUGGUUAGUUUUUAUGAAUUAGUUUUGGUUAGUUUUUAUGAAUUUAAAUUUAAUCAAAGUAGAUUUUUAAAAAUUUGGAAAGAUAUUUUGUAAUUUUGUUGUAUAAAGUAUAAAUAGGUAUAGGUUCUUUGAAAGGUAAAUAGUUUAUAUAAAAAGAACCCUUAAAACAAGAAUCCUUAAAAUUUGAAUUAUAGAUUGUAUCAUAACCAUAUUCAUAUUCAAAUAGUUUAUAUAAAAAGAACCCUUAAAAUUUGAAUUAUAGAUUGUAUCAUAACCAUAUUACGAAUGCAGUUUGUUUUUAAAUAUACUAAAAUAAACAAAAAAAAAAAAAAAAACUUUUGUAUAGAUUACAUUAUACUAUUAUUAAUAGUAUAUCACUCGAUGUGAUAUUUUACUAAUAUUUUUCUAAAUACUUUUAGUAUGGUGCCCUUCUUCGCAUCAAUUAAACGUUUCUAGACAUCUUUAUAAACAAAUCAAUUUAGAUAUUCUAUUACUUUGUUUAACAAAAUCCAUACAUGAACUCCUACUUAUUUAUUUGAUAAAUUUAACAUUUAAAUUCUAUUUCGAGAGUGGAAGAUUUAAACACAUGGAUAAUUUAUUUAAUCUUAAUAAAGGAUAUAAAUAAUUUCUGUUAUUAUAAUUUAAGAUUAACAUAAACAAUUAUAUGUUUCAUGCAACUUUGAUCAAAAUUCAAAUCUUAAAAGUAGUGUCAAUUGAAAUUUUUACAGAAGUUAAAGAUUAAAUCAUAUAUAAUUAUUAAUUUAGAUUUAAAUAAAUAAAAUAUAUAAAAGGAAGAGGUAAAUUAAAAAAUUUCCCCUUAUAUUUAUAUGUAUAGAUGAAUCAUGAAUUGAAAGGGAAGAAUUUGAAUUCAAAGUGUCUUAAUUGAGAGGAUUGGUUGUGGGGCUGUGAGUGACAAAUGUUAUAUGUUUUAGGACAGCUGGUUGAUCCAUCUUUAUUCAUUUGACAUGUUGGAUCUUCUCUUACUUACUUACUCAUGUAUGUUUUGAUGAUACUAUUGGCACUGGCCCAGACUCCUCUUAUAUUUCUCUUCUAAAAACCAAUUGGCACUUGAAUUUAAAAUAUCUGAUCUUGGUUCUUUAAAGUAUUUUCUUGGUCUCGAAAUACAAUUCUCCACUAAUGGCAUUUUUGUCAACCAAACACAUUGAGAUUGAUUCCCAUUUUGUUCGGGAAAAAGUUCUUCGUAAAGACAUCUCUGUUCGACGCAUCUCCUCCAACAAACAACUUGUUGAUAUACUCACAAAAGCUACUUCUGUCUCUCAUAUUUCUUCACCUUUGAAAUAACUACUAACUCCCUCUGAAUCUUUGGUUUGAGGUGGGAUAUUAGGAAAUAAUAUCAUAUUACAAAAUCUACUCCUAUAAUCCCUCUAUUUGUUGUAAAUUGAUUUGUAAUUAUUUUUUACCAUAUUUGUAUCUUCAAGCAUUGUAUAAAUAUUCAUUUUGAUCAAUGAAAAUAGCAACCAAAUUCAAUACAAUUCAUUGGUAUUUUACAUGAAGGAGAGAGAAAUGAAUAGGAAAUGCAAGAAAGCGGAAUGGGAGGAGGACGAGGCCACAAAGUUGGCAAUAAAGAAAGAUGUAGAAAUCGUUGAUGCACAAUCCAUAAAACCCAGACUUUAGCUUUAGGGAAAUUGUUGUUGUUGUCCAAGUCAUCCAAAUGGAUAUCGGUUGUUGCUACCCAAGUCACCGCCACUCCAUCUGAUCGAUUCCCUCCAUUCAUUGGUUGCAAUUUGUUCAUCUACAGAUGGAUGUGUUGUGUGAGGAAGAAAUUGUGGGUUUCAAAAUUUUAGAGCUUUUUUAAACUAAAGGAUAAUUUAGAUAUUUCACAUAUCCAUUUGUCCCAAGACUCUUCUUUUCAAAAUUUGGUCUCAUUAUCAAAUUUGUACUGUUUUUGCCAAUUAAUCAAAAUUUAAUUAAUGCCUAAAACUUUAAACACUAAUCAAAAUUUAAUCAAUGUUCAAUUAUCAUCAUCGAAACACAGAUAAAUGAAUGUUAAUUAACAUAAUUAAAUGCAUGAUAAAGUCAAACAAGUAAAUUGUCACCAUUUUGUUUGCUAAUUUUAUGUUUUUUAAUCAUAAGUGUUAGGUAACAAAAUUCGUUGCCACAUUUGUAAACUAUAUCAAUCAAAAAAUUUAAUAAUUUGUAACUAUGUUAUUUUUAGGAUUUUUCUUUUUAUCUAUCAAACAGUUUCUGAUAGACCAUUUUAAUAGUCCAUUACUGUUAAUACACGAAAUUGUUUUUGCAUAUAUUGAUUGAUAAACAGUUUGUAGGAUUAUCAUUAUUGAGAGGUAUCUAUCAUGUAUCAACCACUUUAAUAUAUUUGUGAAUUAACAAUAUAUAUUUUACAAGGGGAAUUUUACAUAAAUAAAAAAAUUGAAAGUAUUUACGUUAUAUGUCAAAAAAACGAAGCUUAGGACACGUAAUUUUCACUUUUUGAAAUUUUCAAAAAUACCUUUUAACAUAUUUAAAUCUUCACACGACGAUUACUCGAUUCUCAGAUAUCUUCCAUCUAGAGAGUUUUUAACGUGUUGUUCCUAGUUGAUUGUCAUCUCUCUUUCUUUUACAAUCAUCGAGAGAUUUUGAUCACCAAUGACACUAUUUGUACAUCAUUGAUGUUUCAAUCACCCAGACCCCAUUCUCAGGUCUCGUCAUGUGAUUAAGUGAAGGUGUGACCACCUAGACAUUGAUCAAUGUCUAUCUAACCAUGUCAUAAUGCGUUGGGCAUCUAGUAAGCGAAAUUUUAUGACAACUAAUUCACUUGUUUAACUCGUGCGGAAGAGUUUGUGGUAACUUAAAGUAUUGAAUAGGAGGUGUGGUAACUUAACUUGUUGCACACAUUUACUCCCUAUGAGAGGCUAUAAAAAGGAGAGGUUGAAAGCAUCAGCAAAAGCACAGAAACACACAAAUUCGUUAUUCCUCCCUUCCUCGUAACACAAUCAAAUGAAGAAUUUUCCUAUCACAAUCGUUGUUUGCAUUUUCGUGGUGGCAACCACGGUGGCUCUUCUUAAUGGCGCUCCUCCGGUGGUUGCUCAAGUGGAAUGCGACCCAUCACAGCUCUCGUCAUGCACAGCAGCAUUUUUUGGGAUGACGCCCAGUCAGACAUGUUGCAACAAGUUGAGGGAGGCACAACCAUGCUACUGUGAAUAUAUCAAUGAUCCAGAUUUGAGGAGUUUCGUGAAUUCUAGUGCGGCUAGAAGAAUUGCUAAAUCCUGCAACAUUAGCUUACCAACUGAGGCUGACUGCUCUAAAUAGAAACCCUACUUACUUGAGUUUGGACUCUUCUACAAGAAUUAAGUAUUGUUAUGUCUCUUUAGUUUAAUCUAAUAUACAAUAUUCUGAUCCCAACUAAAAAUAAAGGGAAAACCAACCUAUACUUUCUAUAUAAAUUAAAAGCUCAAUAUUACGUUUUAAUAUACCGCCUUACCCAUUAUGAGUUAAUAAUAAGUCAGUAGAUAGACAUCUCAAAUUGGUAUUAUGGCUAGUGCUAUCUUUUAAGGGUUUAAUUUUGUUAUUUUGUCAGAUAUAUUCCAUCGUUGGAAAUAUUAAUUAAGCUAAAAAUAAUAGAAGAUUAAGUCAACAUUACCUCUUUUUGAAGAAAAGAAACUUUGCCCUUCUCCUGCAAAAACGAAUUAAAUCUUUUUAUUCUAUGAAAUUUGGUUGUCAUUUAAAUGUUUUUCGUUUCUAUUUAUUUAAAAAUUACUUCAUCCACUUUGUAUUCAGGAGAGAUACUCGGUUUCUCAACCUCCUUUUACUAUAUUAUAAUUUGGUGCGUUCAGCUCAAGCUAAGAGCUUUAAUUUUUGCAAUAUUAGUUUAUAUCACAUUUGAACAGUAUAUAUAUAUCUAUACACAUUUGAACAAUAUAUUAUAUCACAUUUGAAUAGUCUAUAUAUAUAUAUAUACACACACACAUACACACAUAUAUAAGGGUUUUUAAAAAAAUUAUAACAAAUCAAUAACAUAUUUACAAUAACAUAUUUACACUAUACUGAACAAUUUUGAAAAUGGAAAACUCCAAGGCCUACGAUAGAAAAUAUAAAAAAUAUCUUAGUCAAGACACAAUUAAUCGACCACAGUCGCGUGCGAGUAAUUUUCUUCUAAACGAUCGUGUCUUACCGUCUCAACGAAUGACAAACGAUUGUGUAAUUCUUUUUUAAUAGAGGAAAGAAAACGUCAAAUUAAAAUAAUCAUGUUGACCAUGACAAACGAUUGUGUUAUCAUGGAACAUGAUCAUGUUGAUUAUAGUUAGCGAUCGUAUACUCCAAUAUAAAUGAUAUUUAAAAACCUUAAAUCUAAUGAUCGUGUUGACCAUGGUGAACGAUCGUGUUAAUUAGUGUUAAUUAGUGUUGAUUAUGGUAAACGAUCGUGUACUCCAAUAUAAAUGAUAUUUAAAAACUAAAUCUAACGAUCGUGUUGACCACAGUAAACGAUCGUGAUUAUUAUGAUAAACGAUCAUUCAGAUCAUAUAUAGUUCUUUUAAACAAUCAUUCAGGUCAUGAUUACUUUUAAUAAUAGAGUUCAUGUCACUUAUAUUUUUAAAAUUGUGAAAAUAACAAAUUUAGAAAUAGAUUGAAAAAAAAGUGUUACGAGCUAAUGAUCCAAAGGUAUAUGAUAUGGUUCUUCUCUUCUCAUUUCUGUUAACAAAAAAAAAAAGGCUUAAAAGUUCAUUAUUUUGAACCACUUAUAAACCAAUAUCAAAUCACUAUAUUGUAGAUUAACUAUAGUGAUUAAAAAAGUCUACUCUAGAUUAUCCCUCUGUCUAGACACGCUUAGUCUUUAAAACUUUGGACACUAAUCAAAAUUUAACUAAUGCAAUCUUUAAACACUAAUCAAAAUUGAACUAAUUAAGGCCUAAAACUUUGAACACUAAUUAAAGUUUAUUCACUGCACAAUUAUAUCAUCAUCCAAAUACUGAUAAAUGAAAAUUAAUUAACAUAAUGAAAAGCUUGGUAAAGUCAAACAAGUAAAUUGCCAUCAUUUGUUUGCGAAUUUUAUGUUUCUUAAAGAUUAGUGUCACGUGAUAAAAUUCGUUGCCACACAUUUGUAACUAUAUCACAAAAAAUUAAUAAUGUGUAAGUGUUAUUUUUACGAUUUUUUUGGAUCUAUCAACAAUAGACUGAACCAUUUUAAUAGUCGAUACACUAAAUUGUUUUUGUAUGGUUGAUUACUAAAAAAUUUGUAGGUUUAUCAUUAUUGAUAGAUGUCUAUCAUUUAUGAACCACUUUAAUAUUUGUGUGAAUUAACAAUAUAUAUGCUAUCAAGAGAAAUUUACAUGAAUAAGAAAAAGUGAAAGUAUUUACCCUGUAUGACAGAAAAAUGAAGCGAAAUAAUAGGUUUUCUGGAUAAUUCAUGGUCGAACAUAGAGAAUUGAUACAAAACAUUAGUUAUAAGGCUCACUCUUCAUCUAGUCGGUAUAAAAUAACUAUCUAAUAAGUCUAAGCUAAAUCUACUAUCUACACUAGAAUAUGUAAAAGGGGACAAAAAUAGUGGCGAGAUGAAAAUGUGAACUAACUUGUAUUAAAAAGUGUCAAGGAAGGUCUUCGUGUUAUUAGGCAAUUAAGCCAUCUAGCUUAUAAUUAAGUUGAGCACCUCUCAGUGCCUUAAACUCACACUAGCUUGCCUUCUCGAGAUACAAAUGAUAAAACUUGGUUAAGACGGAUCUAUCUAAAAGUGUUUACUUACAAGACUUAUAAAACUUCUCUUUUAAGGGUGCAGAGAAGAAGAAGAAUGACUUUUUACAGAGGACAGAAAGACUACUCCUUUCCGCCACUUUUAGGGUUUGGUCGAUCCAUUUAGAUGUUUGACUCUUUUCGAAGUCGACCACUUUACUUGGUAAGGAUGAAGUCUUUUUAUAGGCAUCUUUCGAUGGAAAACAUCUAUUCUUCUGAUCAUGUCAGUGUCGAUUGUAGCAUUUGUCAAGUUACAUCAACCCCAACUACCAUUCUUGUCUUCUAGUGAACCUUUCUCGCGUGAUGACGUAAUUCCUCACCUCAGAAUUAUACUCACCAGACAAUAUUCUCUCGCGUAGUCUUUUGCAUGGGCUCUUAUAUGAUUCACUAAUAUCUUCAUUUAUUCAUAAUUAUGAGUUAAAACACUAAAAACCAAGGUAAAACAGACACAGAGACUUAUGUAAGGUGUAUUUUCCUAAUAGUUAUGAAUUUUCAAUCGAAGUUAACAUAAAAUUUUCUCUCAAGCAACAACGUUGCCACCCUAAACUCUAUAAUUUAAGGUAAGGGGUUUAUUACACACCAAAUCCUCGACAUGAGUAAGACUGAGAUUGAUAAUGUGAUUAUUAUUGAUUAUAUAUUGGGUUGGUUUAAUAGGCAUUGAUAGUAUGACUGAUUUAAUUGAUGACUCAUAAUGAAAUACUUGAGACAUGAUGGUUACGAAUGAGGUUAUUGAAUAUAUUUUACAUGUUAUGUUUAUGACUGAAUUGAAUUGAGAAUGACUAAACUAGGAUGUGUUUGAACUAAUGACAACUAUUAACUUUGAUUAUUAGGUUAAUAUAUACCCUAUAUGUAUAGUGUUCUAUAGGAUCCCCACUUAUAGGUAGUGCAUUAAGUGGAUAACUUUUACUAUUGAUGUGUGCUCUAUGAACUACUAGACUGAUCUCUUACUGGGUAUUUGUUCAAUUUUUCAAACAAAGACAAGGCCGGUAAGAAGGAUCUACGAUUGUGAUUGUGCCAUUUGGAACUAUUGUGACAAUGCUUUCGCUACUUUAUUUUUGUUUUCAUGUUUUAGAGCCACAUGUCUAUUGAUAGAUUUAUCCUAAACUCAUGAUUGGUCCAAAUAAAUUACUUUUUUGGUGAUUGGUUAUUAUAUUUUACUAAACAUUUUGGUUUCUGUUUAGAUUGUUUUAUUGAUUUCAUUUCUUUAUUUAAUUAAAAUGAAUUAAACUUUGCGUAGUUUUCAGUUGGUAACAUGUUAUUUUUGAAAUAAUCUACACACAAAUUGCAUAAGCAGAAAUUAAAACUUGUGUCGGCAGAAACCCAAACUUCAUGGGUUUCACUAACAUCAAUCAACUCUCUCCAAGGAUAUAUUUUUCUUACGCGAAACAUGGUGUUAUACCUUUGCAUAGAAAAUCCAUCAACAUAAAUCAUCUUUAUUGACAUUUUUGUUACGUCGGAAACAGAAAUUGUUCACCCAGCUAAAGAAAUAUCCUUUUCUUGCUGCAGGCUCACUGGAUGUUGGCCCUCCAGAGGUCGACUGUUCUCCCAAUACUCUGCAUCAACCAUAACCUUAAAUAUUACCACAUUCUCUACUCAUUCAUUCAGAUUCUCUAAAAAAUUCCGUUGUGUUACGACCCUUGUUAUACGUUUCUUAAUCCUGUUCAUGGUGAACUCAACCGGCAAAGCAAUUAAUUAAAAUGCAAACGAAGAACAUAAAGGCCAAAAUUAAUGCAAUGCAACCAAGAAAAUACAUACAUUUAGAUCCACAAAUAGGACUCUCGAUUCGUGUAAUCCUAAGAUUCAUGUAUUUAGAUCAAAGAUUGGUGAAUUAAGGAGCACAAAUUCAACAUAGAAUUCUGGAAUUAUGAAAUAUUAAAAAACCAAAUGUCAGGUAUUUAAACAAUAAUGUAAAACAAAUUCUUGUACAUACCGACUUCGAUUAGAAUUGUUGUUAGUUGAUAAUAUUAGAAGAAAAUAUAGAAAAUGUUGCAAACAGUAUGUAAGGCAUAUGCUACUAAUCAAGGUAAAAGUUUCCAACCUCCUAACUUUCAAAUAUUGGUGAAAAGCUUUAAUAUUUUCUAGUUAGAAAAAAUAAAAAAAUUAUAUUAGAUGACAAAAGAAUUUAGAAAAAGUUUUUUUGUAAUUAAUGAUAUCAACUAUAAAAAAAUCUAUCAAAAGAUUACGAGAGAGUUAUUAGAGAUUAUCUGUUUUAAAAUUUGUUAUUUUUACAAUUUAAGAUUUUAUUAUAUAUAUAUAUAUAUAUUUUUUUUUGUUAUUUUUACAAACUCCAAAAAAUAAUUGUGUACUUAUUUGUAUUUAAAAUAAUUUUUAUAUGAACUUUUGGUCACUGUUCCAAAGUUGGGAGUUUGUCACUAUUACCACCACCAACCAUAUAUUUAAUGCAAACUAUAGAUGUUACCAUCAUAAAGUUAACAACUCGAAAUUAAUUUUAUUGAAAGUUAACAACUCAGAAAUUAAUUUUAUUGAAAAGUUUAAGCCAAAACAGAGAAGUUGGUAUAGAAGUGAGGUGCUCACAUUCCACUUUAUGAGGUUAUAAAACGUUGUUUUGAAGGUGCGGCAAAUAGAAACCUAUCCCUCAUUUCUAUAUCAAAAGAAGAAAAAUAAUGAAAAAUCUUGGGUUCACAAGUCUUCCCCUUUUGGUGGUGGCAAUGGCGGCCCUUCUCACUGGAGCUCGUGUUGCCGACGCGAUAACUUGCAACACCAUGGGGCUGAGUCCAUGCAUUGGUGCAAUGACAUCGACGGCGCCACCGUCCACCACUUGUUGCAGUAAGCUGAGGGAGCAACAGCCAUGCUUUUGUCAGUAUAUGAAGAAUCCAAGCUUGGGAGGUUACGUGAAAUCUGCUCGAGCAAAAGCUAUUAUUUCCUCCUGUGGUGUUCCCUAUCCCAAAUGCUAGAGGUCAUGCUUUGUAAUGGACUUUUCUUAUAUAUAUAUAUAUAUAUAGCCUAUACUACAAUAUCAAACGACUAUGAAUAAAAAGGAAAGUGAUCUGGUAUUUUCUUUGUUCUAUAUGCUUCAAUUUUUAUCAUUAUACAAAUAUGUAAUGGCAUUACUAUAAAAGAAUGUGAAAUAUAUCUAGAGAAGUAAAAGACGUAGAAUUAACUUUUUCAUUUGGAUCGU